UGCCUACCCACGUGGGGGAAUUUCUCUGUCAAGUUUCUGCUGCUUUGCAGCCAUUUAAAAUGGGUCCUGAAAUAUCUGCAGUGCAGAACAUCUGAGAAGAGCUUUUCAUUUGCUAGAAUGUUGCAGCAAGCAGGCUAAGCGAUGUUAGCAGGCAACUUUGUGAUAGAUUUAGAAAGCCCCGAAGAAAUGGGUGGUGGUGAUACAGAGAGAUUUUUUCUUUCCUUUUUUUCCUUUUUUGGCUUGUCUGCAGAAUAGAUGAAAAGAGAAAAUAUACCCAGAUACUUUGCUCACUCUCCCAAGUGCACACUAGGCAAUGUAAGCUCCAGAGGCAGCGCUUACAGGAGGGGAAGGGACGCUGAGGCCAAGAGUGCUGGCUCACUGGGGUGGAAGGGACUUCAGAGGGCGUUCCUCACUCCUCUUAUUGCAGGUGAAGAAACAGAGGCAGUGGUCCUUUGCCCCAGGCCAUUCAGCUGGCCAGUAGCGGAGCCCAGGGCUACCCAGAUCCUCCAAUGCCCAGGCUGGUCCUCUUUCCUUUCUGACCCCAACACAUGAAGAGUCCAUCUGGAAAUGUUGGCUCCCACACUUCAAAACAUUAAACUCCUUGUUCUCUUUCUCCAAAUGAUUAAUUUGUUUUCAGUGUUUACAUUAGCUGGAAGCCAAGUUGGGAACACUCCUAACUCGUUUCUCAAACAAGAUGUUUUUAAAAUGAAGUUUCCCAGCAUGGAAUGCUUUGCUACUUUGUAAGGGCUUCAGUUGCUAAGAACUUACUGCACCUGUGUCAAAACUGUGCUCUCAGGGCCCCUGGUGGAGUCCAGAAGAAGAGUUCCACGCAGUCCCUGUUUUUCUUUUUUUUCCAGGAACUCCUGGAAACUGAAUCACAGAUCAGAUCAUGUUGUUCCACAAGAACGAUGUGUCACUGUGAGGCUGCAUUCCUGACCACGAACUGAGCACCAAAUAAGUCAUGGACAUGCACCAAAAGGUGUGACCCAAGGGAGGCAGGGUGAGCCCCAUGUCUCAGAACAUCCUCGCGGACAGCAAAGCCCUUGAUGUGGUGGAGUAGGGGCCUGUGGCAACCCCUCACACAUGGCAGGUCCUUUGCAACCCCAAGUGCUUCAGAUGCUACCAGCCCUCCUUGGGCAGGUCUGAGAUGUGACAGAGAAGAAGAUGAGAAUGGAAAAAGAGAAAGAAGAGCGGAAAACUAAAAGAGGGAAGGGCAGAGGAAAGAGCAGAAAUGCAGUCUAGCUGGAGGGCAGGCUGCUGGCUCCAGCCACUGCCUCAGAUCCCCCCGACCUGGGGUACUCAGGAGUCUGAGUGGGUACAGGGCUAUAGCCUCAAUUUCCCCAUCUGAUGUGGG
rnacentral:lncRNA from 1 species